rnacentral:ncRNA from 2 species
UACGUAGGGGGCAAGCGUUGUCCGGAAUUAUUGGGCGUAAAGCGCGCGCAGGCGGUUUCUUAAGUCUUGUGUUUAAUCCCGGGGCUCAACCUCGGUUCGCAUGGGAAACUGGGAAACUGGAGUGCAGGAGAGGAAAGUGGAAUUCCACGUGUAGCGGUGAAAUGCGUAGAGAUGUGGAGGAACACCAGUGGCGAAGGCGACUUUCUGGCCUGUAACUGACGCUGAGGCGCGAAAGCGUGGGGAGCAAACAGG